rnacentral:rRNA from 1 species
CGCUGGCGGCGUGCCUGACACAUGCAAGUCGAGCGGGGACUUGCGACAGAUUGAAGACUUCGGUUGAAUAUGAAGAUGUAAAGUUCUAGCGGCGGACGGGUGAGUAACGCGUGAGCAACCUGUCCCUUACAGGGGGAUAACACAGCGAAAGUUGUACUAAUACCGCAUGAGACCACAGUAUCACAUGGUACAGGGGUCAAAGGAGCAAUCCGGUAAGGGGUGGGCUCGCGUCCGAUUAGAUAGUUGGUGAGGUAACGGCCCACCAAGUCGACGAUCGGUAGCCGACCUGAGAGGGUGAUCGGCCACAUUGGGACUGAGACACGGCCCAAACUCCUACGGGAGGCAGCAGUGGGGAAUAUUGGGCAAUGGGGGGAAACCCUGACCCAGCAACGCCGCGUGAGGGAAGAAGGUUUUCGGAUCGUAAACCUCUGUCCUUGGUGAAGAGGAAGAGACGGUAGCCAAGGAGGAAGCCCCGGCUAACUACGUGCCAGCAGCGGC